AAAAAACAAAAAAACAAAAAAAAAAAACAUACCUUCUCAGUCAUUUUUCUGAACUGCCUAAGUUCUUGUAUGACUUAUUGGGAACCCUUUUAGAUUACUUUUCUUAAGUUAAGUGUCUUGUCUGUUGAGUGGUCCCAGGUUGAAAAAUAAAAAGAAAGAAAGCCACUGUUUGAAUGACUGAGGUGCUUUUAACACUUGAAAAAAUAGCAACUUGCAGACAGAGAAAUGUGGAAAUAUAUCCUUUCAUAGCUGAUGUAUCUCUGGCCUGAUACAGUUGUUUUCUGUUUAACAUUCCAGUGCUUUAAGGCAUUACAAAUGUUCCCAGCUACCAGCUUCAGCCUUUGCCCCAGCAUCUCAGUUGCAGGAGGUGCAGGCUGACGAUGGACCUGGACAUGCAAAGACUCCAAUGCCCCAGCAGCAGUCCCCUCUUUUAGCCUGGUGAAUGCCAGGUUUUUGGAUGCUUACCACACAGUUCAGGCUGUGAUAAGGAUUAUUUUUUUUUUCUCCUGACUUUUGGAAGGAGUAUGACAAACGAAUCCUUGACUUCUGUUUGCCGUGACUCUGUGCUGAGGCUGUUGAAUCACGCUAGUACCAUUCUCUGCUCUACAGCACUUCAAGGCAUAGCAGAAGUCAACAUUGAUCUUCAGAUACACGGGCAGAUCACACUUCUGUAG
rnacentral:lncRNA from 1 species